GGUCCCCUGCGCGGUGCGUGAUUGACAGCAAUUUUUUGAGCCAACACUCAAAAAAUGGGAACCGCCCCCGGCUGUGGUGAGCAAGCCUGCCAUGAAGCAGGAAGCCUGAAGCAGCCGUUAGGGUCCCACCUGGGAAACCAGGUUCAAAAGUUCUGUCUCCACGGCCGACUGCGGGGGAUCA
rnacentral:other from 1 species